AUUAUUACUUAAGAAAAUAGAACUGUUUAUUAUAAACACAAAGUCAACAUUGACAAUAAUUGGAAAUCAAAGCAUUAAGAGCUCAACAUAUCAAGCAGAAUAAAAUUAUGCAUUAGAAUAAGUAUUGCUCAUAUGGAAAAGUCAAAGAGUUUAUGUCUUUGUACAUCCAGAUGAAAUUCUGAUUUGGAAAAUCAUUUCUUAAGAAAUGAGCGAUAGUUGUUUUCUGGUGUGCGCCUUUUCAUUAUAUCAUGUUUUCUUUUUAAAUACCGGUAUGUUAAAGAAGAACCCUUUAUUCACUCAUACCAGGAUAUCAUAUAUUGAGAAUACAACAGAAUCAGACAUUGCAGUGACUUUAUAUGUAAAACAAUGAGCAAAUUGAAAAACUACUAGAACACAAGCAACACUUGUACAAGGCUUAUCCUGUCAAUGUAACUGGGCCUCAACACAGACAAGGCUUAUCCUGUCAACCUAACUGGCCCUCAACAC